GGUGAUUUUUGUUUAGUUUUGUUGGUUUUUUUUCUUUUUCCCAGCCAUAUACUUUCAUAGUCACUGUUGGCAAUUCUAGCUUACUGACAUUAGAGCUGUUUAGUAAAUGCCUUUAAUUUCUUUCCCAGUGAGAGUCAGUCAUCUUCCAACCAAAAUCCUCCUUACAAAUAUGGUGUGAUAGCUCAUAGCUAGUAUAUCUCUUACUUUGUGCCUGAUUAUGAGGUAGGGAUUAGGAACUAGUUAUGUUCAAGACUGUGAUACGUUUUUAAGCUUCUUGGUUGUCAUUCUCUAUUUUUCAGACCCACUGCAAGUAUCUUCUAAGAGCACUGGAAAUUGCACCGUGCUGCAGAGGACAGGGAUAGAUAUAGAUGCACAGCUGUUGCAAAAACAUAACCAUACCCCUAACAUGUGGCUUUGUAAGGAGCAUUGUGAACAUCAGCCUUGACUUUAAAAUAUGUUGUUGCUUUGGCACUGGUGGUGUGAUAAACAAGAUAAACAUUUUGUCAUUUCUUAUAAAUACCCACAGGACUUGCAUGGCUUCUUGUUGGUUGACAUAUCAACCCUUCACUAAAUACAACAAAGAUAACCUAAUGGGUACAUCACUUAAAAUAAGUUGAGCUUAAGUGUCCUGGUUAAUAAAGCUUUGUGUGAAUUCUGUCUAAUUCAAGCAAUUUCAGCAAAAAGCAUAGCAAGUAGCCAAGCUGGGAUAAAAAUGUUUUUGUUUCACCACUUUCAUCCUCAUAACAUCCUUCACAGACACUAUAACAGUAUUUUAGUCUUUAGAAGAAUGUCUAACAACAUGAUUGUCUCAACACCAGGCAUGAUCCCAGUGGAAAUUAAAAUUGCAUGCAUUUUCUCAUCACUCUUUAUUUAACAACCGGGAGACUUUUAAUAUUUGAAACUCAGCAAGAAAAUUGUCUUGAAACACAGAGAUUCCUUUGGGGUAAUUUCACUUUUGUUUUCUAUGAACUUCAGCUGAGCAUUUUUUUUUUCACUGUAAUACAGAUCCAUGAAUUGUAUGAUGGUUAACAGGACUUUCUGUAUGUGCUUCUCAGCUAACAUAUAGGGAAAAAUAACAAAGAACAUUCUAAUAACAUCACUUGAGUUAGCUAGCUUUACUAAUAAAGAUAUCCUGUUUCACUUUCCUUCACAGUUUCUUUUAAACACCUUUUUGGAGGCUGUGUGAGUAAAUGCAAAAAGUCACUAUCUGCCCAAAAGGCAAUGCAGUUGUAGCGCUUCUUGAAUAUUCACAAUAACAUCAGGCAGAAGAUGGUGAAAGAAUAAACAGAACUCUGCUAUGAGUAUUUGAUGGCUGGAACAAGUGAAGGCAGGAAAAAUACUUUAGAUUCUAACAUCAACUAAGAUUACAACAUCCUAUCCAGAGCUGUGUUUGAUGGAAAGAGCAAAAGUUGUUUCUAAGAACAGAAGACGUCAGAGAAAAAUAUACAGACUUCUGCUUUGUUUACAUGGAGAAUCUUUGAAAAGCUUUUGCACUGUUAUUUCCCCAGCUCACUGUAGGCUAAGACAGCAGAGUAUGUCAGGCUAGGAGACAAAAUAACAUUUUUGUAUUGCUGACAAGAAGUAGGACACUAUCCUUGCUGUAAUGUCAGUAAGGAGUGUUUUUUAUAUAACUAAGUGUAUACUUGGCCCCAGCGCCAGUCAGUUAACAAACGUGUUACUUGGUUCUGUUGAGGACACUGAUUUUUCUUUCUUUUCUUUUUCUUUUCUUUUCUUCCCGUAAGAAGGCAUUUGGCAUGUCCAAAAAAUUUUGCCUUGAUGGGGCUUAGUAAUGCAGUUUGCUUGGCUCAGAGCAGUAGUAUCCAGAAACUGAUGGCUGGUUGGUAUUCUGCAAAAAUAACAUUAAAAUAGGCUCCUGCAAGUGGUCAUAGAAAACUGUCAGUGCAUUUGGUAGGGUUGAUUGUAUCAGCUGAUUUCCAUUAGAACCAUUUUGGUUUUGCUUAUAAUCAACCCUCAGGAGAUUGGCAUGUUAACAUGGCAUCAUGGCUAUUGCAUAGAAGCUUCCUAUAUUCAUUAUAGUUUAGAUCUGUUCUGCAGAUUGAAGAUUCAGAGGUCAAUAAGCACCUUUCAGAAAACUCCAUUCACAUUCAGAGAAUGUGGUUAUCAUACUCCCUUGCUUUGGGCUUUGUUGCUUGUUUUCAUGUUUCUAACAGAGUAACAUCAACACUCCUUUCAUACUGCAUACACUCUUGAUGUUUCCAUCUUCAGCAUUUCUGAAACCUGCCAGUCCCCACCAGGAAUUUGGGGCUCUUCCCUCAAGUGUAUCUACCAAAGUCAAAACAGCAAUAUCCAAGGUCACUCUUUGUGCACAACUUUAUGCUGGGACUGAGAUUAGUGUGACAGGUUCAAAUCCAAUCUGCUUAUCAACUGGGGUGAUUGUACACUGACAUUUAUGCUCAGUUUUAGAUUUUCACUCUUAUUUUAACCCUUUCCGGUGAAUCUGAAUGACAAAAUCUUUUUCUCUCACUAAAUCUCUUGUUUUUUGUUUGUUUUUUAAGCUGAUUGUCCAACAGAGGAAUGCCUCAGGCCUCCAACUUGUUUCUGAAAAGAGGUAUUAGAUCUGCCCCUCUGGAAUGGCAUCAUUGAGACCAAACAGAGAGAGAAGGUCUGUUUCUCCUGUAUUACUACGACUGAUACAAGCACAUUACAGGAUUUCCCUUUUUUAUUCCAGCCAGAACACCAGUUCUUUAGGAACAGGUAAUCCUAUUGAUAGAAGCUGUUGGUCUGGAGAGGGCAAUUUAUUUCUUAUUCUCUUUGGUAUUUUAAUAAGGGCAAUCAACCCUAAUUCCAAAUUCUCUUGUGAGAUUUUGCCUUCUGGGUAAGAAACAUCCUUUGCCUCCCUCUCCCCCCUUUUCCCAAACAAUCUUCUGCUGUGCUAGGAAGAUGGAAUGUAUAGGUGAUAUCCCUUUUAGAAAAUGCAUCCAUAAUAUAUCACAUGUAUUGUCAUUAUGAUGUAUUAAUGUAAUGCAUCAUCAGAGAGCUGUCAGAGUGAAGAUUUAUUACUCUAAAAUAAGUUAUGGUAAGACACUGGGGAAUGAGUUGACAGAAUUUUUUGUUUAUUUUUCUAAAUUAAGAACUUUCAGAGUAAGUUUGAAGAUCUCUUACCUUCAUGAAGUAAGUAGGGGUGGGAGGGUCACAGAACGGAGGACUUGAAUCAAAAACACCAGAAGGACUCUGGAGGUCUCAUAAGAAUAAGAAUUUAAUAUUUUCUUUACCCAGAUAGUUUCCAAAAAGUAUAGUGUGCAAAGUUUAAGUGUACUGCUUAGAUGAGAGCUACGUUAAGCAGUCAAAUUCAUUUUAAU
ensembl:lncRNA